GGCCGAGUGGCGGAAUUGGCAGACGCACGGGACUUAAAAUCCCGAGGAGGGUAACCUCCGUGGGGGUUCGAGUCCCCCCUCGGCUA
rnacentral:tRNA from 1 species